AGGCAGAAAGGGAAUGAAGUUCUCCCCCGAUUUUUAUCGAAACCGCCAAUGAGCUGAUGACUUCUGUGCAAUG
rnacentral:ncRNA from 12 species